GGCGGUAUCGCCAAGUGGUAAGGCAGAGGAUUGCAAAUUCUUUAUCCCCAGUUCAAAUCUGGGUACCGCCU
rnacentral:tRNA from 1 species